UACGUAGGCAGCGAGCGUUGUUCGGAAUUAUUGGGCGUAAAGAGCUCGUAGGCGGUGUGUUACGUCGGCCGUGAAAACCUGCAGCUUAACUGUGGGCGUGCGGUCGAUACGGGCAUCACUGGAGUUCGGCAGGGGAGACUGGAAUUCCUGGUGUAGCGGUGAAAUGCGCAGAUAUCAGGAGGAACACCGGUGGCGAAGGCGGGUCUCUGGGCCGAUACUGACGCUGAGGAGCGAAAGCGUGGGGAGCGAACAGG
rnacentral:rRNA from 1 species